rnacentral:rRNA from 1 species
AGAGUUUGAUCAUGGCUCAGAUUGAACGCUGGCGGUAUGCUUUACACAUGCAAGUCGAACGGGCUUAGGGGCUUGCUCCUGAGUUAGUGGCGAACGGGUGAGUAAUAUAUCGGAACAUAUCCGGAAGUGGGGGAUAACGUAGCGAAAGUUACGCUAAUACCGCAUAUGCCCUGAGGGGGAGAGGGGGGGGAUCGCAAGACCUCUCGCUUUCGGAGUGGCCGAUAUCGGAUUAGCUAGUAGGUGAGGUAAAGGCUCACCUAGGCGACGAUCCGUAGCUGGUCUGAGAGGACGACCAGCCACACUGGAACUGAGACACGGUCCAGACUCCUACGGGAGGCAGCAGUGGGGAAUUUUGGACAAUGGGCGAAAGCCUGAUCCAGCCAUACCGCGUGAGUGAAGAAGGCCUUCGGGUUGUAAAGCUCUUUCAGCCGGAAAGAAAUCGCACUUUUUAAUACGAAGUGUGGAUGACGGUACCGGAAGAAGAAGCACCGGCUAACUACGUGCCAGCAGCCGCGGUAAUACGUAGGGUGCGAGCGUUAAUCGGAAUUACUGGGCGUAAAGCGUGCGCAGGCGGUUUUGUAAGCCAGAUGUGAAAUCCCCGGGCUUAACCUGGGAACUGCAUUUGGAACUGUAAGACUAGAGUAUAGCAGAGGGGGGUAGAAUUCCACGUGUAGCAGUGAAAUGCGUAGAUAUGUGGAGGAAUACCAAUGGCGAAGGCAGCCCCCUGGGUUAAUACUGACGCUCAUGCACGAAAGCGUGGGGAGCAAACAGGAUUAGAUACCCUGGUAGUCCACGCCCUAAACGAUGUCAACUAGGUGUUGGGGGAGGAGACUUCCUUAGUACCGCAGCUAACGCGUGAAGUUGACCGCCUGGGGAGUACGGUCGCAAGAUUAAAACUUAAAGGAAUUGACGG